rnacentral:rRNA from 1 species
GAAUUCGCCCGAAGAGCUCCUUCCUGGCGCACGACGAACGCUGGCGGCACGCUUAACACAUGCAAGUCGAACGGAGAACAUUGAGCUUGCUUAAUGUUCUUAGUGGCGGACGGGUGAGUAACGCGUGAGUAACCUGCCCUUCAGAGGGGGAUAACGUCUGGAAACGGACGCUAAUACCGCAUGACACAUUUCCAUCGCAUGGUGGAGAUAUCAAAGGAGCAAUCCGCUGAAGGAUGGACUCGCGUCCGAUUAGAUAGUUGGCGGGGUAACGGCCCACCAAGUCGACGAUCGGUAGCCGGACUGAGAGGUUGAACGGCCACAUUGGGACUGAGACACGGCCCAGACUCCUACGGGAGGCAGCAGUGGGGGAUAUUGCACAAUGGGCGAAAGCCUGAUGCAGCAACGCCGCGUGAGGGAAGACGGUUUUCGGAUUGUAAACCUCUGUUCUAAGUGACGAACAAAUGACGGUAGCUUAGGAGAAAGCCCCGGCUAACUACGUGCCAGCAGCCGCGGUAAUACGUAGGGGGCAAGCGUUGUCCGGAAUUACUGGGUGUAAAGGGAGCGCAGGCGGAGAAGCAAGUCAGUGGUGAAAACGAUGGGCUUAACUCAUCGACUGCCAUUGAAACUGUUUCCCUUGAGUGAAGUAGAGGCAGGCGGAAUUCCGAGUGUAGCGGUGAAAUGCAUAGAUAUUCGGAGGAACACCAGUGGCGAUGGCGGCCUGCUGGGCUUUAACUGACGCUGAGGCUCGAAAGUGUGGGGAGCAAACAGGAUUAGAUACCCUGGUAGUCCACACUGUAAACGAUGAU